CCUACGGGUGGCAGCAGUGGGGAAUAUUGGGCAAUGGGCGCAAGCCUGACCCAGCAACGCCGCGUGAAGGAAUAAGGCUUUCGGGUUGUAAACUUCUUGUGUCAGGGAAGAGUAGAAGACGGUACCUGACGAAUAAGCCACGGCUAACUACGUGCCAGCAGCCGCGGUAAGACGUAGGUGGCAAGCGGUGUCCGGAUUUACUGGGUGGAAAGGGCGUGUAGCCGGGUUGACAAGUCAGUUGUGAAAUCCUGCGGCUUAACCGCAGAACUGCAUUUGAAACUGUUGAUCUUGAGUACUGGAGAGGCAGCCGGAAUUCCUGGUGUAGCGGUGAAAUGCGUAGAUAUUAGGAGGAACACCAGUGGCGAAGGCGGUCUGCUGGACAGCAACUGACGGUGAGGCGCGAAAGCGUGGGGAGCAAACAGGAUUAGAUACCCUUGUAGUC
rnacentral:rRNA from 1 species